rnacentral:lncRNA from 1 species
UUGAGUUUAGCAAAGAUUUCUAUCCAUUAGGGACGGAGCUGGUGGGCAUGUUUCUGUUUUCCUCCUCAGGUACAAGGUUCCCUAGUGCUGUACCAGGUUGGUAACUACAGCCAGGACCAUUCAGCCUUGAACUGUCUGAGCCCUGCCUCUAACAGCCUUGGUAGAGAAGAUGCUCACAGCCAAGAAUCCCCUCUGAGGGGUUGACAGCGACGGUCCCUCUUCCCCAAGUUACAUCCUGGUCCGGCUUCCCUUGUGGCACGCUGGUGACGACUGACCUCCCUAUAACCCUGGUAUGAGGCCGUGAUGAAUGGGACGAAGCUCUCUCGGCAGAAAUGAGCUGGCUGCAAAUCCUGCCCUGAAGGUGGUGGCCCUUGAGGAUCCUCUCCAAACUUCUCUUCAAAGCCUUAAGUGACCACAUAGAUACCGAAGACUAUGGCUCCAUGGAAGAUCUUACAGGCUGCAGAGGAAAGGAGGCAUGGAAACUGAGGGGGAAGGAAGAGUUAAGGAGCUGAGGACACAGCUGGAGCCAACACUACCAUACUGACCUUGCUGUCCCUAAAUGAACCUUGGAGGUCACUACAGGACACGGUGUCAGCCUAGCGACAAAAGCCAGGAGUUAUUAGACUGCUUGUUCCUCUCAGUGACACAGUCCCGAGACCUGUUCUUCAUGGCCAUUGACCGGAUGCCCCAUGAGUGAGACUGGUCCAGCUUCUCACUGUGGCAUCCUGCUCCUCUUUGAUUGACAAUUUCCAGAUGGACACAUGCCUUUAGCUCAGUUCCUAACCCAAUCAACUAGUGUCUUUCCGCCUUGCAACCACAGGGCAGCUUCAGCUCUGAAGGAUGUGGACACUGUGUGCCGAUCUCCUGCCACAAGGCCUGUGAGCUCUCCUCUCUUGGAGCCCUCCGCACGAGCCCACCUGUGCCGGGUGGUGGUGGGCAAUCUGAUUGAUCUGGCAUGUCUGGGCUGAGGAGGGGAGUUGAACGCUUCUCUCUGGGAGGGAUUUUCAGCUCAUUUCACAGAUGAAAUCAAUCAGACCUAAACCUCAUUCACAGUGGCCACGAGAAGCAAACCGGAACAGUAGGGGGUCAAACGGGAGACUUCCUUGCUCCCUGCCCGUCUGGCUCUACUUUGGCAGUGGGGGCCAGUGGUCCUCGGGCUGUGCGGAAGAAUGGUUGCCUUCAAAGCAGGUGUUGCUGCGGAGACCGGUCUGCUUGCCAGAGAAAUCAGCACCAAACUGGCUCACUGAAGGAAGUCAGGCCUGGAAGAUGGCUUCUCCAGCAAAGGCAGACCCUA